CCCAGCAUGGUGUAGUGGUUGAGCACUGGACUGCAACUCUGGAGAUCAGGUUUCAAAUCCCCACUGGGUGGGU